UAGAGAUAGCUGGUUACUCAGGAAAAGGAUGUUAGUCCAACUUUAAAUCUCCUACUAACCUCAAAUAGCCUAAUAGAUUUAAAUUUUAUUCAAAUAAGGUACAGCCUAUUUGAAACAGGAUACAACCUAUGACACUGGGUAAUGUCCCAACUCAUGACCAAGUGGGCCUAAGAGCAGCCAUCUUUUAAAGAGCGUUACAGCCUCGUCACACUUUCCAUCAAUCCCAACCUAAAUCCAAAACCCUUCACUAAUACUGAGUAACUCCAUAUUAAUAUAGAAACUCUUAUGUUAGAACUAGUAACAAGAACAGCCAUUCUCCUAUAAACGUAACUGUAAGCCGGACUGAACCCCCUCACCGGCAUCUACCGCUGAUGAAUCAACAGUAGCAACUCACACAAGAAAACCCCACUCAUCCCAGCGUUAACCUUACACUAGAACUUUCCAGGAAAGAUUAAAAAAAGAGGAAGGAAUUCAGCAAAUAUUAGCCCCGCCUGUUUACCAA
rnacentral:rRNA from 1 species